rnacentral:rRNA from 1 species
AUGGAGGCAUCGUCUUGCCUGCGCUACCAAGUCUGCGGUUUUGGUUUGUCCUGGAUAUGGCUAUGUCUUCUUUUACUGCAUCUCCUUCAGAAUUGCAGCCUGGUGCUCUCAGACUCUCCUUAUCUGGUCGGCAUGGGGAGCUAUGACAUAACAGGGCCUGCGGCAGAUGUUAACAUGAUGGGAUAUGCAAAUGCGGAGCAGGUUGCAUCAGGGAUUCACUUCAGGCUAAAGUCACGCGCGUUUAUUGUCGCCGAGCCUGAUGAUGGAAAGCGUGUUGUCUUUGUGAAUCUCGACGCUUGUAUGGCAUCACAGCUUGUGAAUAUCAAGGUGCUCGAAAGGCUAAAAGCAAGGUACGGUGACCUUUAUAAUGAGAAUAACGUGGCUAUCAGUGGCAUCCAUACCCAUGCUGGGCCUGGAGGUUAUCUGCAAUAUGUUGUCUAUAUUAUUACAUCACUUGGGUUUGUUCGUCAGUCAUUCGAUGUAAUUGUCGAUGGCAUUGAGCAAAGCAUUGUUGAAGCUCAUAACAAUCUCCGUCCUGGGAAAAUCUAUGUGAAUAAAGGUGACCUUCUGGAUGCUGGUGUGAAUCGCAGCCCGAGUGGGUAUCUGAAUAACCCUGCUGAAGAGAGAAGCAAAUAUAGAUACAAUGUUGAUAAAGAAAUGACCCUUGUUAAGUUUGUAGAUGAUGAAUUCGGUCCAGUUGGAAGUUUUAAUUGGUUUGCAACUCACGGAACAUCAAUGAGUCGUACAAAUUCUUUGAUAAGCGGUGAUAACAAAGGAGCAGCUGCACGUUUCAUGGAAGAUUGGGCUGAACAAAAUGGCCUUCCAAAGCAGACAGGUCAUGCAAAUUCUGAUGAUUUUGGAUCUUUGCACCUUCCGAGGAGAGUCUCUACAAUAAUACCAGAACCUGAUGAGAUAACGGAUGACUUAAUGCAAUUAGCAUCAUCCUACAAGGCCUCAGGUGGCAGAAUAUUGGCAAGUUCAAAUAUCACUAGGCGCAUUAGAAACACUCAAAAGAACAAUGCCAAAUUUGUUUCCGCAUUUUGCCAGUCAAACUGUGGAGAUGUUAGUCCAAAUGUCUUGGGAGCAUUUUGCAUAGACACCAACCUUCCUUGUGACUUCAAUCACAGCACGUGUAAUGGGAAGAAUGAACUUUGCUAUGGACGAGGCCCAGGGUAUCCUAAUGAGUUCGAAAGUACCCGCAUCAUUGGAAAUAGGCAAUUUCUGAAGGCUGCAGAUCUCUUUAAUUCGGCUUCGGAAGAACUACAAGGAAAAGUUGACUAUCGUCACACUUACUUAGAUUUCUCGCAACUUGAAGUUAGUGUUUCUACGAGUACGGGAGGUCAGCAGGUGGUGAAAACAUGCCCAGCAGCCAUGGGGUUUUCAUUUGCUGCUGGAACCACAGAUGGCCCUGGAGCUUUUGAUUUCAAACAAGGAGAUGACAAGGGAAACCCUUUCUGGAGAUUAGUGGGGGGCAUACUAAAGAAACCAGGGAAAGAGCAAGUCGAGUGCCAAGCUCCAAAACCAAUAUUGCUAGACACUGGUGAAAUGAAGGAACCAUAUGAUUGGGCGCCUGCGAUACUUCCCAUUCAGAUCAUAAGAAUCGGUCAGCUGGUUAUCUUGUCUGUUCCUGGAGAAUUCACGACAAUGGCCGGCAGGCGGUUACGCGAUGCUGUAAAAAAUGUACUGAUAAGUGGCAGCAAUGGUGAAUUUAAUUCCAACACUCACGUUGUUCUCGCGGGGCUGACAAACACAUAUUCUCAGUAUGUUACAACAUUUGAAGAAUACCAGGUCCAAAGAUACGAGGGUGCGUCAACUUUGUACGGUCCCCACACCUUGAGUGCAUACAUUCAAGAAUUUCAGAAACUUGCCACUGCUAUGGUUGCAAACAAGGAGAUCCCAGCAACAAACAUCCUACCUCCUGACAUGUUGGACAAGCAAAUCGGACUGCUGCCAGGCGUCAUUCUCGACUCGACUCCUCCUGGUGUUCACUUUGGGGAUGUCAGCUCUGACGUCGCAGCAAACUCAGACUUCCGGAAGGGCAGUACCGUGAAUGCUACGUUCCAUUCGGCCUGUCCAAGGAAUGAUCUUCUAACCGAUGGUACCUUCGCACUCGUUGAGAGGCUGAAUGGCGACAACUGGAUUCCUGUCUACGACGAUGACGAUUGGUCUUUGCGAUUCAAGUGGUCGAGGCCUUCGAAACUCAGUCCAGAGAGCUUUGCGACGCUGGAGUGGACCAUUCCUGAAGAUGCUGUCCCUGGUGUUUAUAGGCUGCGGCAUUUCGGUGCCUCCAAGCCGCUGAUAGGGUCGAUUGAGCAUUUCACAGGUACCUCUCGCGCGUUUGCAGUGCGUUAA